ensembl:lncRNA
AUGUCAGCGCCGGUCCAAGCUCUCAGCAAGGGGAGCUCCGCGGGGAAACUGAGUCAGGACUUCACGGUCGGGGAGCCAGACGCAGGUGGCCGGAGAUCCGAGCGCGGGGAGCCGGAUCUGCUCCGACCGAGCCCAGGCCAGUCGGCCACGUGUGUCCGAACGGCUUGUCACUCAGCACGCAGGGGGCGGGGCCUGGAGGAUUGUCCAAUCAGGGGCGGCAGGGGCGGGGCCGAGGCGUGGAAGCCCCCCGUGGUUAACCGCCCGCCCGCACUCCGGGGGCGGUGCCCGGAAGACGAGCCAAUCAGACGCAGAGGCUCGGAGCGCCGUCCAAUCAGGGCGCAGAGGCCCGGAGCGCCGUCCAAUCAGGGCGGGGGAAGGGCGCGCUCCAGCCGCGUGUCCAUCGCUCCGCUGCCGCCCCGGCGCCCGUGCGCACCUGCCUCGCGCGGCCGCCGGUGUCCGGUCCUCCUCGGUCUCGGCGGCCCGGGUGGCAGGGACAGCCCGAGCGGGACGCGAGAUGGACACCUUGUUCCUGCUAGAAAACAAAAUCCAGCUGAGUAAUGGGCGCUCUUCAGUGAUUCAUGGGCCGGGCAGCGUGCCAUCUCGGGGCAGGAAGGAGCUCGGAGGAGCUGCACAAAAUGAAAGACUUUCACGGGCACCAGGAGUGGGAGCAGGAGACUGUGAGACAGAAAGUGGGGCCGGUUGUGACAGGUCCCCUUCCGUCCCGCGGCAGGGGUGGCCGGGGUCUAGCAGCCGCAGGACCUGGGCGCUCCUGACCAGCUCAUUCCCGCCGGGCUGGUGUCACAUUCCAUUUCUGGGAGAGGCCGAAACUGCAGUCAGGCGAAUCCUGGGUUUGGUGACAAGGAGCCUGGUACGCAGGAGUCCAUUUUGGGUCGGCCGUCUCCGUUUUUGCCAUUCCCAGGACUGCUGCUCGGGCCCCAGGCUCCCGGCACCUCCGGUCCGGCAGAAACAGGGCUUUUCCUCAGGAGGAGCAGUGGCGGAAAGGAGGUCUGGCAGGAGCGGCCCCCCUGUGCUCCGGGCUUCCUUUGCUCAGGUGGGCAGUGGCGCGUUCUGCAUCCGAGCACCUGCUCCAGCAGAGGUGGCGAUGGGGAGACAAAGUCGGGGCCGUGGGGAGGCCGGAGGCCUGGGGGAGUCGGUGACCCCGCGGUGCGGUGAGCAGAGGAGCGGCGGCAAAGGCGUUGCUGGAGAGGACAGCGCCGGCCACCCAUGGUGCUGCGUGGGCCUCCCGGAGGGCAGCUCCCAGGCCCACGUGCGGGCCGGAGGAGGGCGAAGCCGGGCUGCGUGGGAGCAGCAGGCGCUGGGUGCCCGUGGGCCCGGGACAAGCAGCCGCGCUAGUCCGGCCGAGGAGCCGGCGCGGAUCUGGGGGUCGGGGUGCGGCCCUGGUAGGGACGGGCCACCUCCCUGGGAGUCGUGCCUCGGCCGGGGCCGGGCCCUCUCUGCAGCCUGCUGUUGUCCAGGCCCACGGGCUGCUCGCCUGCUGUGUGCCAGCAGCACAGGCUCUGGGGGGACCCGCAGGCCCCCCGCCCCCGGUGGCAGCCUGGUCCCUGUCCAGCUGCCUCCCGGGCCAUCCUGGACUUCAGCAGGUGGAGGUGGAGCGUGACCGACCCCUUCCUCCCCACCCCCUUCCCCUCGAGGUGGAGGGUGGAGGGCGUGAGGUCUGCCCUCCUCCUGCUGACUGUGUGGCUCUGGGGCUUCUCCAGGGAACGUGCCCGGGGCGUGGGGGGCAGGUGUCCCGGUACUGACCCUGUCCCUGUGCACGAGGGUCGGGCGCGUGCGGGGGUCCGCACCUUCAUGCCGGGCGAGUGGACUCAUGGAUGAAAGGAUUCCUCCAAAUCCUAGUGAGUAUUCACGCGGGGACAGCGCUGGGACACUGGGCGAUCCUGUCUCCCUCCGGUUAAUUGCGGAAGGUCGGACGGAGAUCGUGGACGUUCUGUGAACUGAACGUGGUCGGUUCUGACCUAUGAUUUGCUACCACGAUGGUAAAGUCAACAACUAACUGUUUUCUGUAAAGGAUAAACAUUUCCCGUUUAUUUAAACCAUCAACAUACCCCGAGCCUCCCUCCCUGCUCCCUCGAGCCCGGGGUGGGGGGUGGGGAGUGGGGGGGGCUGGGGACAGCGAUUCUGCACCUUGUGCUUCACGCCGUGGGUCAGCGGCUUGGUCCUGGUGCAGGGACGCAGGUGCUGGAGGCAGGUGCUCCCAGGGCUGCGGACAGGCUGCCCCUGGGGCCGGGGGGUCGUGCCCGCCUGCAGCGUGGGGCGAUCUGGGGCUGUCCUGGGGCUGCUCCCUCCUGGCUGGUCCUGGCAUCAGCCACAGAGUUGGUAGAGUCAGGGGGGAUCUGUGCAACCUGGGGCGGUCUGUGAAGGUCAGGCUGAGGGGGCCCCCUGGGCUCAAGCGCCGUGGGAAGGGCUGAUGAGCGCGAGCCUCUAAGGGUCAGCACCUAAGUCUGAGGGUUUCCUCCCUGGUGAGAAUUGGGGUCCCGGAGGAGGGACCGUUUCCACACUGAGGGGGGGCGGGGUGUGUGGAGCUGCAGAACCGUUCCCCGGGGGCUCAGGGUCCCCUCCCCCUUCCCUGGCAGCAGCCACCCUGGCCAGUGUCAGCGGGGAGAGCUGGCCCCCGUGAUGGGACCGGCCUUGACCCCCCACCCUGGGGUUUCUGGUGCUGUGUGGGCGCAGCGGGGGCUGACCUGCGCUGGCUCCCACUUGCUGCUGCUCCCGCGUGUUUCCUGGAGAGGCUCCUGCUGCCCAGUGAGCCCAGCGUGGGUGAUACGACUUUUGUCAUGUGGCCACAUUUGCAGGACUCGGCUCUUUGAAUUCUCGUGUGUUAGCAUCUACCCGUGUGCUGCCCCCAAGGUGACCCGUGUCCUGCCCCCUCCUGAUGGCCGCUGGACACGUGUCCACCACCAGGCGGUGUCACCUGACUGCCCUGUUGAAGAUGCCGGUGAAUGUCAGCAGUGUCCCUGCGGACGUCAUGGCUGCUGUGUGGUUGCUCAGCCCUGGUCUGUGUCGCUGGGCAGGUGCCCUCGACUCGGGUCACCCCGUGAGCUCCUCCCUCCUGGGCCUCAUGGGCCCGAGGUCCCAAGUCCAUGCUUCGGGGUUGUCAGCAUGCUGCGUCGGUCUUGUUUGGUCUCUGGGUGUAAACCUGUAUUAAUUAUUUACACCUGCAGAAAAUUGCAUAUCGUAGAUCAAGGGGAAGUUAAAAUUUAUAGAGAAACGCGGAUGUGGUGCGUGAAUCUCACGUGGGCUGAUGCCUGGCCCUCGGGCACUGCGGGUUAUGCAGCUUCAUGUCCAGCUGGAGGGCAGGACGCGGGAUCUCCUUGGGGUCCCCCGUGGGCUCCUCUGAUCCCCACUAGGGCGGAGCAUCCUCAUGGGUGGGGUUCCGCCUCCUGUGGAAGAGUUUCCAGCGUGUUGUCCCCUGUAGCCUGCGAGUCUGCGUGGAUGGACUCUCCACGUGUUUACUACACUUGGCCUUCCCCGUGUCUUCCUGUGUUGAUCACCCUUUUGUGCCCUGAGAGAACCCUGCCAUGGCUCAGGCGUAAACACACCUGCUGGAACCUCCUCCUUGUGUGUUCUGCUUGUUUCCACGACAGUGAAAUAAAUCCCCAGGAUCGCUUGUUGCCCGUAAAAUU